rnacentral:rRNA from 1 species
AGAGUUUGAUCCUGGCUCAGGAUGAACGCUGGCGGCGUGCCUAACACAUGCAAGUCGAGCGCGAUUAGACGGACUGGAGACUUCGGUCAAAGGGAAGACUAUGAAAGCGGCGGACGGGUGAGUAACGCGUGAGCAACCUGCCCUGUACAGGGGGAUAGCCACUGGAAACGGUGAUUAAUACCAUAUAACACCACAAGACCGCAAUCAAAGGAGAAAUCCGCUUUGAGAUGGGCCCGCGGCUGAUUAGCUAGUUGGUGAGGUAAUGGCUCACCAAGGCGACGAUCAGUAGCCGACCUGAGAGGGUGACCGGCCACACUGGAACUGAGACACGGUCCAGACUCCUACGGGAGGCAGCAGUGGGGAAUAUUGCACAAUGGGCGCAAGCCUGAUGCAGCAACGCCGCGUGAGUGAUGAAGGCCUUCGGGUCGUAAAACUCUGUCCUAAGGGAAGAACCUUCCGGAUACAUAGGAGGAAGCCCCGGCUAACUACGUGCCAGCAGCCGCGGUAAUACGUAGGGGGCAAGCGUUAUCCGGAAUCACUGGGUGUAAAGGGCGUGUAGGCGGGAAUGCAAGUCAGAUGUGAAAUGCCUGGGCUCAACCCAGGAAGUGCAUUGGAUACUGGCAGACUUGAAUACGGGAGAGGGUAGUGGAAUUCCUAGUGUAGGAGUGAAAUCCGUAGAUAUUCGGAGGAACACCGGUGGCGAAGGCGGCUAUCUGGACCGAUACUGACGCUGAGACGCGAAAGCGUGGGGAGCAAACAGGAUUAGAUACCCUGGUAGUCCACGCUGUAAACGAUGGAUACUAGGUGUGGGAGGUAUCGACCCCUUCCGUGCCGCAGUAAACGCAAUAAGUAUCCCGCCUGGGGAGUACGGCCGCAAGGUUGAAACUCAAAGGAAUUGACGGGGGCCCGCACAAGCGGUGGAGCAUGUGGUUUAAUUCGACGCAACGCGAAGAACCUUACCAGGGCUUGACAUCCUGUGACAGCUAUAGAAAUAUAGACUUCUUAGUUUACUAAGACACAGAGACAGGUGGUGCAUGGUUGCAGCUCGUGUCGUGAGAUGUUGGGUUAAGUCCCGCAACGAGCGCAACCCUUGUUCUUAGUUGCCAGCAAGUAAUGUUGGGCACUCUGGCAGAACUGCCGUUGACAAAACGGAGGAAGGUGGGGACGACGUCAAAUCAUCAUGCCCCUUAUGUCCUGGGCUACACACGUACUACAAUGGCAACAACAGAGGGCAGCCAUGCCGCGAGGCAGAGCGAAUCCCAAAAUGUUGUCUCAGUUCAGAUUGCAGGCUGCAACUCGCCUGCAUGAAGUCGGAAUUGCUAGUAAUGGCAGGUCAGCAUACUGCCGUGAAUACGUUCCCGGGCCUUGUACACACCGCCCGUCACACCAUGAGAGUCUGUAACACCCGAAGUCAGUAGUUUAACCGUAAGGAGGGCGCUGCCGAAGGUGGGACAGAUAAUUGGGGUGAAGUCGUAACAAGGUAACC